ACUUAUUGAAGAAUCAUUUCCUUGAAGAACACAGUCCAGCUGCUCCAGGAAUAGCGCAAAAAAAUCCUCAAAGGUAAAGUCAGCAUAACCCAAACUCUGAAGCGUUUUCCUACAUUCUUCCACCUUCGCUUUAAUUUGAUCAACUUCUGCCCGAUCCUGUGUCUCCAAAAUGUGCUCGAGGUAUGAAAACAUAAAGCUUCGAAAGAAGCAAUUGCCAUCUCCGCGCGUUCGCCUAAUAGCAACAUACUGGUCGCCAAGGACCUUUAUCUUCUCGAGCAAAAUAGGGCUCCCUGAUUCAUAUUCAGCGGCUAACGCAGAAAGAGGCUCCUUGUCACCGAGAAAAGGAAUUUUAUCGGCUUCAGCGGAGCGAAUUGCAGAGUGUUGUUGCAUAAUAUCAUCGUCCCCAAAACUUGCCCAAUCUUCAAAUUCAGAAGCUGUUUGGCCAUCCGCUAAUUGCCCCUCCUGAUUCUGAUUCUGAUUCUGCAUCUCUCUGUCUCUCCUGAAGAUCAAAAGUGGUGAGCUGCUCUCCGCCUGAUCUUUUCCCCUCUUUUAGUAUUUUAAUUUUUUUUUAAAACCUUUAGCGCUUGCAAAU
rnacentral:misc_RNA from 1 species